GCUUCUAGCUGAUUGUGAAGAUGGUAUCUUUAUGUGAACCCGUGCCAGUUUUAACGCAGUGUUAAUGUCCCUGUCAGUGUUAUGUCAGCCGCUCAGGAUUUUGGUGUAAUUCAGGAGGGGUGAAUGUAGCAGGUAUAUAAAUAUACAGGAAUGCAUUCCACCAAUAAUCCCUCACGUUUUAUUUUAUUGUUCCAAUAUUGUCACUUUUAUUUUGGUAUGUUUACUACAAAAGACCGUUUUGGGAGCUAAUGCUUUUAUUUUGAAGUCUUCACUUUCGGCAGUGACGUCAUCUACCUGCGUUGCACCCUCUCUCACUCAGUUGUUUGUAUGGCAGACUGAGACUGGUGUGUUGCAGACGUCCAUGUUUAUUAAUGCUGCUGCAUUAUUGUGUUUACUUCAUGCAGAGGAAUAAAUACGCCACAGUUUCGGUUAAAGACAACAACCGAAUCUCCUUGUCCAUCAAACACGCACAACACAACGCAGAGUCGUAGCAAGGGUCUGCUGAGAAGUAGGCCCAGACCGGCUACAG